AUUGAACGCUGGCGGCAGGCCUAACACAUGCAAGUCGAACGAGUGGCGGACGGGUGAGUAAUGUCUGGGAAACUGCCCGAUGGAGGGGGAUAACUACUGGAAACGGUAGCUAAUACCGCAUACCAUCGGAUGUGCCCAGAUGGGAUGAGCUUGUAGGUGAGGUAACGGCUCACCUAGGCGACGAUCCCUAGCUGGUCUGAGAGGAUGACCAGGAAAGAUGGAACUUGGAAACGGUCCAGACGCGUACGGAAGGCAGCAGUGGGAAAUGUUGGAAGAUGGGCGCAAGCCUGUUGCGGCCAGGCCGCGGGUAUGAAGAAGGCCUUCGGGUUGUAAAGUACUUUCAGCGGGGCGGCGUGACCCGCAGAAGUAGCACAGGCUAACUCCGUGCCAGCAGCCGAGGUAAUAC
rnacentral:rRNA from 1 species